rnacentral:rRNA from 1 species
GACCCAGACUCCUACGGGAGGCAGCAGUGAGGAAUAUUGGUCAAUGGGCGGGAGCCUGAACCAGCCAAGUCGCGUGAGGGAAGACGGCCCUACGGGUUGUAAACCUCUUUUGUCGGGGAGCAAAGCGAGUCACGUGUGACUCAUUGAGAGUACCCGAAGAAAAAGCAUCGGCUAACUCCGUGCCAGCAGCCGCGGUAAUACGGAGGAUCCGAGCGUUAUCCGGAUUCAUUGGGUUUAAAGGGUGCGUAGGUUGUUUUAUAAGUUAGCGGUGAAAUACCGAUGCUCAACAUCGGGGCUGCCGCUAAUACUGUAGGACUAGAGAUCGGAUGCAGCAGGCGGAAUGUGUAGUGUAGCGGUGAAAUGCAUAGAUAUUACACAGAACACCGAUUGCGAAGGCAGCUUGCUAGGCCGGAUCUGACACUGAUGCACGAAAGCGUGGGGAUCGAACAGGAUUAGAUACCCCCGUA